AUGAACGCUAGCGGCAGGCUUAACACAUGCAAGGUCGAGGGGCAGCACGGGUAGCAAUACUUGGUGGCGACCGGCGCAAGGGUGCGUAACGCGUGAGCAACAUGCCCGUAUCAGGGGGAUAAUCCAGGGAAACUUGGUCUAAUACCCCAUAGCAAUUGGAGGAGGCAUCUUUUUCAAUUUAAAGCUUUGGUGGAUACGGAUUGGCUCGCGUGACAUUAGCUAGAUGGUAAGGUAACGGCUUACCAUGGCUACGAUGUCUAGGGGUUCUGAGAGGAAGAUCCCCCACACUGGAACUGAGACACGGUCCAGACUCCUACGGGAGGCAGCAGUGAGGAAUAUUGGACAAUGGAUGGAAAUCUGAUCCAGCCAUGCCGCGUGCAGGAAGACGGCCCUAUGGGUUGUAAACUGCUUUUGUAUGGGAGCAAUAAGGUCUAUGCGUAGACUGAUGAGAGUACCAUACGAAUAAGCAUCGGCUAACUCCGUG
rnacentral:rRNA from 1 species